AUUGAACGCUGGCGGCAGGCCUAACACAUGCAAGUCGAACGAGUGGCGGACGUGAGAGUAAUGUCUGGGAAACUGCCCGGGGGAGGGGGAUAACGACUGGAAACUGUCGCUAAUACCACACACCAUCGUAUGUCCAGAGAGGGGAAUGGCUAGUAGGUGGGGUAACGGCUCACAUAGGCGUCGAUCCCUAGCUGGUCUGAGAGGAUGACCAGCCACACUGGAACUGAGACACGGUCCAGACUCCUACGGGAGGCAGCAGUGGGGAAUAUUGCACAAUGGGCGCAAGCCUGAUGCAGCCAUGCCGCGUGUAUGAAGAAGGCCUUCGGGUUGUAAAGUACUUUCAGCGAGGAGGCGUUACUCGCAGAAGAAGCACCGGCUAACUCCGUGCCAGCAGCCGCGGUAAUUC
rnacentral:rRNA from 1 species